AAGUCGUAACAAGGUUUCCGUAGGUGAACCUGCGGUUGGAUCAUUACCAAAGAUAUAAAAGAGCAGCUCUCCUGAUAUAUGAAUUUUUGUGUAUUAGGGGUUGUCUUCUUUUUUUACACCUUUUGUGAACUUAAAUCGUGUUUUUGUGUUAUUUGGCAGUUUGGCGAAACUGUAAUAAGCCGCUGUUUCUGUUUAAGGGAAGCAUGGGCUGCCAAAAAACAAAAUAUAUUAUAACUUUUUAUAUUUAUUUUCUUUUUAAAACUUUUUUUUAAUGUUUUUUUUUCCUUUUGGGAAAAAUUUACCUAUAAAAAAAUAAUUAAAAAACAACUUUUGACAACGGAUCUCUUGGCUCUU
rnacentral:misc_RNA from 1 species